CUCUGGGAACUUACAUAGUAAUAUAAUGGGCUAUUUAUUAGUAUUUAUCACGAAGUCAUGGGCCUAAAAUGGGCUGGGCUGGAGCCCAAAAUCAUAUACAAGGAAAAUAGCGUGGGCCAUAUUGGGCUGGGAGUCAUCAUUCCCACACCGCCGGCGAGCAAGCCGAUUCCACCGCGCCGCCGCCUUAUCUGCUUCGCCGGCCGGCGGCUGCUCGCCGGCUACCUUCCUAUACGGCGCCGGCUCGGCCAGGGCGUCGCGAGGCAAGGCCGAGGCUGGCCUCAUCGCUCGCAGCCAACCAGCAGAGCCUGCCGGCUGCCGCCGGUGCUAUGCCCGAUGGCGACGCCCUCGUCGGCGGCGGCCGCCGCCGGAGGAACGGUGGCUGCAUGGGGUUUCUUCGGCUCAGAGGACUGGAACUCGUCAUAUCUCGACAAGUGCAAGCAGAUCUUAUGUAUAGCAGCUAACAAGUGGUAUGAACAAAACAUUGGCCAAUGGGAUAUCUCAACAGUCUGAAUAUUAAUACAGAAGCUAUAUUUUUCUGAACUUGGAGGCGGCAUCCUUGACUGGGAAUCAAGUUUCAACCCAGUGAUGUAAGUAGCAAAGACCAACUAGUGAUCUGUCGAAGCUAUCCUUCUUGGGCUGUGUUUUCCCCUCUUGUUGAGAAUGCCAUUUGUUCUGGUGGAAGUCUGCAAGCUUGGUGUUUCAUGCUGGUGUCAGGAUGACAUAUGGACAUUCUGAAAUAAAAUGAAGGAUUGGUGUAGCUAUAUUCCUUGAGGAAUCUUGAAUCUGUCUUUGAAGGCUUGAAGCUGUGUAAGACUGCAUUGUCGAUUCGGCAAACUUCUGGGCCCUUGGUCUUUGAAUCUGUCUUGAGGAAUCGCUGAUCUGCAACUACCUGGGUCCAUGAUGGAUGUGUAGAGAGAAGCAGUGUCGGUCGAUCUGGGCUGAGCCUGCUUCAAUGUUUUAAUUGGCUUCUUUUUUCCAGACAGACAUCAAUUGCAGUGACAGUUCACAAACCUCCAUCUAUAUUCACCAUAGAAUCAAUCCAAUCACAGUAACUUGCACAGAUUUACAGUUAAUCAAAAUACACUGCACUUCUACAAGUAAGGUCUCAUCUUCCAGACAAGAUGUCUGGUGUCAUUGUGCCCAAGCUAUUCCCUGACCACGGGUACUGUGCGACGUAUGGGUCGACCCCUUCAUUGUGCAUUAUUGCCAGCAAGCUGGAGUUCAGGGUUGCCGGUGUAAACUCCGGCAGCGGUGCAUCUCCAUCAAGGUAUUGCAUGACCUGCCGCAUGAUAGGCCUUGCUCCGGGUAUUGGGUGUGAGCACAUCAGCCCAAGUGUCAACACCAGGCAUGCCUCAUCGACGUUGUAGAUGCCGUGCAGCUUCGGGUCCACUGUCUCUGGCAGCGAACCCUGGUGCCAGUGCUGGAGAACCCAGUCAACCAACAUCUUUCGGCCGUGGUGCGCACUGUUGCUGAUCGGCCACCGGCCACAGGUGACCUCAAGAAGGAACGUGCCGAAGGCGAACACGUCGGUGAGAGGGGAUGCCUUUCCUGUGCGUGCCAGCUCUGGGGCUAUGAAUCCCAUGGUUCCAACCAGGAGCACGUUGCUUGCUUUGAUGUCACGGUGGAUGACAACCUUGUCCCACUUCUCAUGGAGGUAGAAUAAGCCAGAAGCCACGUCUUUGAUGAUUUGCAUCCUCUGAGCCCAAUUUAAAACAGGUUUGUUGUCUUCACC